UACUUCUUUUUUUUUUUUUUUUUUUUUUUUAACAGGAGAGACCUUGCCUUUUCCUUCAAAAAGAGCCAUGACAUCUGUGGUGGCAAUAGGUGAAGACUAUAUAUUUCAAAGUUGUUGUGGGACAAUUCCUAGACCAAGACAUGCCCACAUGAACACACACGUUGAGGGUGGGAAGGAGCAGCCACAGUGGGCAUCCACACACCAUGGUAGGGACAUGAGGCAACCUCACCUCACUGCUGCAGCGCUCUCCCUUAGUGACAGGCAUCAGAAUAGCUUUAAACCUAAGUUAAGUAAAGGACAUGGUAAUGUAGCAAACCUUUACCCAGUCCUGUGGCCAGAAAUGGCUCUGUGACUCUGCCACAUGGAUCUUCUCAGCCCAGUGUUUUCAGCCAGCAACUCAUUGGGCAGACAAUUGACUUGAGUACAAAUAUCACAUACCUCAAAGAGUGUUUCUGUUCUGGUUUUUAAUUCCCUCUGCAGACAGUUCUGUACAAAUGCAUUCAAAGGAAUAUUUUGCUUUUAUCUGGCCAGCAAUCAUGUAAACCCAGAAGUAUGAAGAAUAAUAGCCAAGUCCAAUUAUAGAAGGACUGUUCUUAACAGAAAUGCCUGAUCUUCCUUUACCUUUAGCAGGCACACAGAUCUCUCCAGCUCACAUCAUUCAUUACUUCUUCACAGAAGAGUUCUCAGGUCAUCCUUUCAUUGCCAGGAUUUUUCCUAUGCCACAUUAAGUCUGUAAGGAUUUGAACUCCUGUAGGGAUGCUACUCCUUCCCUUGGGAGAUCAUUACAGGGUUUGACAGCUCUCACUAACAUUUUCCAGCAUUUCCCGCUGUCAAACAAAACUGCAAACAUUCAACAAAAAGUACACUCUACCAAGGCUCACACACACUGAUGGCAGAACCAAGGCUCACAGCUGGAAAAAAACCACAUGGGUUGUCCUACUGCAAGCCAUGUGCAUCUGCUGCCCAUGUGGAGCCCUCCAUCCCUUUCAGCCACCGCUCCCCUUCCUGCUUUGAUUCACAUGGAUGUGAUUUUCAACAGGUGAGAUCAUCUUUUGAAAAAGUUUUAUGUUUGGCUAUAAACAGGCCCCAGGACUGUAAUUCAGGAGAGGCAUGGAGGCUGUGCUCAUGAGGCUCACUAUUCCCUUCCAAAUGGGAUGUUCACUGUGUUUCACAAACUUCUGAUGUAGGAGAUUGCUCUUUCCUGCAGAAGAGUCUCUCUACUCCUCCUUGCAGAUUGAAGUAGGAUAAAAAGUAUAAAACUUUCCACCAAAAUUCCCAAGGCAGUUUUGGACCAGUUCUGUCUGACCCUCUGUGAGAUGCUGGAGACUUAAACCCCAGCUCAGGAAAGCUCCAUUAAAAAUUGACCCACUCCAGGGUGCCUUUAGCAGGGAAGAUCAUGGUGUUCUGAAGAUCUUUAGCCCAAUAGUACUUCAAUCUAAAUACUGAAGACAUGUAGGUAUAUGUAAAGAUCAAUAAAUUGGGGAAUAAAAAGCUGAAAACAACUUGCCUUGAGCUCUUACAACAUCUCUGCAGUACACUUUGACCCAGCAAUCAGGAGAAUGAGAUAGGACAGCUGGCUUUUUUCCUGCAGAUCAGACAGCUUUUUGCCUGGAACUUGUAGGCACUGGCUGUAGCACACACAGCACUGCUGCUGCUCUCUCACUGCUGGGAAUACUCACCAGGAUGUAUGCAGGAAGAAUCAGCCUAGAGUUGUCUUCUACCAGCAGCAAGUGCCCAUAGCUGAGCUGGUCAGAAAUAAACAGUUCAUCAAAAGUUGUUUCCAUUUACUCCCUGUCCCUUGAACAAGCAUAUCAGCACCUCCCUACAUAACAAGCUUCCCCUAGUUCUGAUAAAAGUCAUCAACAAGGAUUUCAGCUGCUCCCUAACAGUACUGCCCUGUGCACCACUAUCAGCAAAGCUUCCUCCCAGAGCAAACUCUCUUUUCUUUACAGGCUCAUCUGCUCCCUGGCACCACCUGAUCACACAAGGUACCACACUGAACUAAUGACAGUCUUGUUGCUGCCUGAAGCCACAAGGCUGCAGGACAAGCUGGCAGCCACUGUGCACAUCCCCACUCCUCUACUGCAGUAAAAGGUUUCAGUUUUGCAAGAGCAGGGGAACUUCUGCCCCCUGGUACAGCCCACGAUGGUCAUUAGUCGUCUGCUGAGUUCACCUUAACUGCAGUGAUCAAGAAUGAGUAAAGUUGCUCAGGAAAAUGCCUAUAGUGGGUGCAGCACUUGUGAGAAAUCACAACAUAGGUACUUUUGAAAAUUCCUGCUUUGUAAUCUGCAGCAGUGACUGUAAUCUCAAAAUUUGAGAGUAGAGAUUAAUUUA
rnacentral:lncRNA from 1 species